rnacentral:tRNA from 1 species
ACGCCAGUGGUGUAGUGGUAUCAUACAAGAUUCCCAUUCUUGCCACCCGGGUUCGAUUCCCGGCUGGCGCA